UAGAACGCUAGCGGCGAGGCUUAAUAAUGCAAGGUCGAGGGGCAUCAAGGUACACGAAAGUGUAUUGUUGGCGACCGGCGGACGGGUGAGUAAUAGGUAGGUAACCUACCCAUACUGAGGCAUAGCUGGGAGAAAUUCCAGGUAAUUCCUCAUGAGGUUAUAUGACACAUGUGGUAUAAUCAAAGGUAUCGCAAGGUACUGGUAUGAGAUGGGCUUACUGACCAUUAGCUAGUUGGUGAGAUAAGAGCUCACCAAGGCGAAGAUGGUUAGGGGUUUUGAGAGAGAGAUCCCCCACAUUGGAACUGAGAUACGGUCCAGACUCCUACGGGAGGCAGCAGUAGGGAAUAUUGGGCAAUGGGCGGAAGCCUGACCCAGCCAUGCCGCGUGAAGGAAGACGGCCUUAUGGGUUGUAAACUUCUUUACUAUGCGACUAACUAGAUUUACGAGAUAAUUCUAUAGAAUGUAGCAUAGCAAAAAGCACCGGCUAACUCCGUG
rnacentral:rRNA from 1 species